UCUGCCCACAGCACAUGGGAGCUUGUGGUGAGUUACCCAUGAUACAAUCCAGUCGGUAAAGAUGCAUCUCUGAGACACCCAGGAUGUUUCACGCAAUUAUUGGCUGCUACGCUCAUUCUCAAAAAAGGAAGAGGCACUACCCGUCGGUUUACCAGGGAGGAAGAUAAGGUGAGCUCUACGCCCAACGUGGGGCUCAAACUCAGGACUGCGAGAUCAAGAGUCGCACACUCUACCAACUGAGCCUGCCAGUUGUCUUCAUUUUAACGAAGCCCUGUAGACACUCUCAUGGCCAACGCUACCACUCAGACUGCGGCCCCACCCCCAGGAACAUCAAAGCAUCCAAAGGAUUGAGAAGAUUAAAGUAUUUUGAAGUCCUCUUACUCAAGUCAGAUCCAUAGAGCAGCAACCUCAGCAUCACCCAAGAGCCUGAAAUGCUGUCCCUGAGAACCCACUUGAAGCCUACUGGAAUAAAAUCUGUAUUUUAACAAGAACCUCAGCUGAUUCCCAUGCACAUUAAAGUCUGAGAAGCAUGGUUCUGAAGUACAUCUGGCUUAUGAUUACUAGAAUCACAAGAAGGAAGUUGCCUGAAACUUCAA